ensembl:snRNA U6 U6 spliceosomal RNA
GUGCUUGCUUCAGCCAUACAUACAAUAAAAUUGGAAAAAAGAAUAUCGUGGCCCCUGCACAAGGAUGACAUGCAAAUUCAUAAAGCAUUCCAUAUUCGA